GGGGAUAUGGCGGAAUGGUAGACGCUGCGGACUUAAAAUCCGUUCACGCGCGAGCGUGGUGAGGGUUCAAGUCCCUCUUUCCCCA
rnacentral:tRNA from 1 species